ensembl:miRNA MIR4442 microRNA 4442
GCGCCCUCCCUCUCUCCCCGGUGUGCAAAUGUGUGUGUGCGGUGUUAUGCCGGACAAGAGGGAGGUG